GGAGAGGUGUCCGAGUGGUUGAAGGAGCCCGCCUCGAAAGCGGGUGUGCGCUCACGCGCACCGUGGGUUCGAAUCCCACCCUCUCCGCCA
rnacentral:tRNA from 1 species